UCGAAAAAGUACUUACUACAUUAUUACAUCUUUGAAGAAAGCAUUUGUAUCAGAAGUAUCCUUGACAUUUUCCAACUCUAUUGUAGCAUCAUCUUGUUCUUUGUUGUAAACAAAAAGGUUUGCAGCCAGAAGAAAAAACAAGAGGUUAAUAAAGCUCAAAACAGCAUAAAAUGUGUAGAAAUAGUCCAAGCGAGACACAUUCAAGUUGUCCAAAAAAUCCAGCCCUUGUGACCAUCCCUCUUAGUGAAAUCAGACACAGUUGUUAGAAUAAAACUGCUUAGAAAAUUCCCCAUACUCAAGCUAGUUGUAUAAUAGGCUGUGCCGAAGCUUUUCAUACUUUUCGGAGCUUGAUCAUAGAAGAAUUCAAGUCUCCCCACCUCCCAAAAUGUAUCAGCCACCCCCAUCAGGGCAUAUUGAGGAAGUAAUAUGAAUAUGCUGAGCGGAACAAUUUGAUUUUUCUUUGUAAUGCCAUGAUCUUCAAUCACAUUUAAUCGCUUCCGUUCACAAACUGAAGCAAUGAUCAUGAUGAUGACAUGCAUUACUAGGCCUAUUCCCAUUCUUUGCAGCAUUGGGAUCCCUCUUGGAUUUUUGGUGUAGCUUCGAAGCGUGGGAACCAGGAAUUUAUCAUAGAUCACAACAGUGAUCAGCAUAAAGAUUGUUAUGAAUGCUACAAGAGAUGCCGGGGGAAUACUGAAAUGAGGACCUAUGCUUCUAACAAGAGUGGUACCUUGCUUGAUGAAGAGUGUGUGUCCUUGAGCUAUCAGGGUGCUAGGUAAGAAUGAUACUAAUAAGAUUGGCACCAUUUUUACCAUUUGUUUUGUUUCUUCAACUUCAGUCACUGUGCACAGCAUCCAGUGAGGGCUCCGUCCAUCCACAACAGCUGCUUUAUCUAGUAUUCUGUGUAAAAGCAAAUGAUAGCUAAAACUUAAAAGUCGUACUUAGUGCACAAGACUCCGGUGUCAAAAGUAAAAAAGGAAACAGAGGACUAUAAACCUCUUCUUUGAUGAAUAAGAAAUACGACCUUAGUAAAGGAGAGUGUUCAAUUCUAUACUUUCCAGGUUUGGAAUAUUCAUCCAAAUUCAACUCAUGUAGUUCUUUUGGAUCAUCCGGGACAACCAACUUCCAUUUUCUAAUAGUGGCUAUAAGAACUCUAGCCAUCUUGGUCAAUGGGCUUCCAGAUGCAGGUUGGUGCCUAUAAUAAGGUGAGCCUGCUAGAAACACCAAUAUUGAUAAAAAGAGUCCGAUUGUUGGAAGACCAUAUCCAAGUCCCCAGCCUGCAUGAUCUUGUAUAUAGACUAGGAAAGUGCUGGCAAAAAGUGUGCCGAAGAAGAUACUAAAGACCCACCAAUUAAAGAAUGAUAUCUUCUGGGUUUUUUCGGUUGGCUCAAAUUCAUCAAAUUGAUCUGCACCCAUCGUUGAGAUGUUGGGCUUUGUCCCUCCAGUUCCGAGUGCAAUUAUGUACAAUGCACAGUAGAAAAUACCCACUUGAAAAGGUGAAGCUUGCUUGUUACAGUCCACGUCUGUUAUACUGUCACCGCAUGAUGGUGGCCGGAGAGAUUUUAAUGAAACUACUAGUGUCAGCAAGGACAUGCCCUGUUACACAACAAAUAUUUGAGCCCAGGCAAAGCAAUCAAAACGUAUACGUGAAACUUGCAAGCAAUUUUAUGUUUUCAUACCCCAAGAUAGAUGAAGGCUGAAAUGAUGAAAGUCCAGUAACGGCCAAGAUGAGCAUCCGCGAUGUAGGCACCUAGAAUGGGUGUCAGCCAGACAGUGCCAACCCAGUUGGUGACAUUGUUUGAAGACUUCACGGUGCCUUCAUGUAAUUUUCUUGUGAGAUAUAGCACUAGAUUUGUUGAUAUUCCAUAAAAUGCCAUCCUCUCAAAUGCUUCAUACCCUUCAAAAUCAUUCAUUAUACGAAAUAAAUUAGAAUAUCAAGCUGAAACUAUGUUCUUCACCUUAAUACAAAAUAGUACAUGAGUUGAAUGUGGUAAAUGUUCUAUUGGAUGAUAUCAGAAUUAUCAAAAGAAGCAAUAGAAUCUUGUUGACAUACCGACAAUGAAGGAGGUUGCUCUCCAUCUCCCUGUGUUUGAUCUUAACACAGGAUUACCCUUGAGGUCAACUGUUCCAUCUUUGGUGUACUCAUCAUCCCCUCUCGUCUUGCCAUUCUCUUCGACUACUCUUUCCAUUGUCAUUGUCAUCUCCCUGUGUUUGAUCUGAACACAGUUGAACGUGCAGCUCGAGUUUAUACUAGACAACCUCUGUCUACCUGCAUAUACAGUUAGCUACAAAUGAAAUGGUGGAUAAUAAUUGAAUCAUUAACAGUCUAACACUGAAGUCAGUUUUUAUAUCUGAAAUUCAACCCUUUUCUUAUCUAAAAUAUUCAUGCUGGUAAAAGAACAAAUACAAGUGUCCAGUAUCUGGGAGAGCUUUCAGUGCUUCCAAAUCAAUUCAUGCCCGAUCUGCAUGCGAGGAAUAUGUUGUAUCUUAAACCAUUCUGGCCCACUCUCCCUCCUGCAUCUUUCUUCUAGAAUAGUACAUUGAAAUAUUUUCAGGUACUGAAGGCUAUGUGACUCGUGAAACGUAGGCAAACUCUUCAAAUUAUUACAAUUCCAAAUACGUAACCGCUCAAGAGAUGGAAGCUUUGCCAGUGAUUCUGGAAGAGAUUUCACUCCUUCGAAAUCAUUUAUGUACAACAGAGUCAAUGCAGGGAACGUAGAGUAGAGACGAUCAUCAAGCUCCCCAUCCAGAAGUAUUGACCUAACCUUCUUCCGACCGAACAGGGUCAGUGAGGUCAGUUUAGGAAACCAAAUUACAGAAGAGAAGGAGGGCCAUGGAAAUUCGUUUAGUUCAUCCGAGAAGGGACCUAAUAUCAUCUUUUCAAGUCUUGACCUUGUACCAGGGACAAAUACUAAUUCUGAAAGAGAGGGGCAUCUCACAAUAAUAAGAUACUAGUAUGUUUGCCUGCUCCGGGCAUUCUAAAUUAAUAUUUUUUUAAAAAAUAUGUUUGCUUAAAUUUGUAUUUGAUUAGAAUUGAGAUUUUUUGUUUGUGGAUGAAAAUUAUUUUAUAUUUGUUUUUUCUAUUUCUUGUUUAAAUCUAAAUUAAAUUCUAAGCUGAAAAAUAUCUGAUAAUAGAGAUAAUCUCGUUCUUUCAAUUUUUGGUACGAUAUGUUUGUCCCAAAUAUAUAUAACUAUAAAUUUAAUUUAUUGAACUUAAAUAUUACAGAAAAUAGUAUAGACAUUUGUAUUGUAUUUUAAAAUUAGUAAUGCAAGACCCAAAUAUUAGUUGUUUUUCAUUAUAAAAUAAAAAAUGAGUUGUUUUAAAAAUUUGAAACUAGCCAUCAAUAUCUAUGCCAAAAAUCACAAUGAAUUCUCUCCGAAAAAUCAUAGCCUACACAAUGAAUUCGAAGUCUCAGACAUGUUAAGGCGUUAUGGUUGGAUUGUGCCAGCUUACACCAUGCCUCCUGAUGCCCAACAUGUUACUGUGCUUCGUGUAGUUAUCCGCGAGGACUUUUCAAAAACUCUGACUGAACGCCUGGUUACAAAUAUCAAGCAGGUCCUCGAGGAGCUUGACACACUCCCAAGUAAGGUGACACAGAAGUUGACAACUGAGGUGGACAACGGCAAGGCUGUGAAGAAAAGCUGAAGUCCCAUUCCAGUUCCAGGUAAAGAAAUGGGGCAAUGAACCCACCGCUAGCAGCGUGCACAUGAAUUGGUGUAUCCCAUCUAUCAAAAGAAAUGAAAUAGAUAAAAGAUGGUCCUAUAAUCCAGCAACUCAUCAAAUGAUAUGUAUUAAUGAGCAAGACAGUGGAUUACCCAGUUUCUGCAUUUUUCUUAACCAAGAGGUCAUUUAAGAGCUAACAUCUUCAAAUUCUCCAUUAAGAGUGGAUCCUAGAAUAGCUGCAACACAAAUGGUGUUCUCAUCCACCAUUUCUGCAGCCUUUUCAGGGUCCAUCACAUAGUAGCUGUCUCUCAACUUGACCUCCUUCAGCUCCACUUCAAAUUACCUUGCAAAAAUGGUGGAUUAAUUUCUUGUUUAAUACAUGGAUCUAGUCAAUCUGGAUUAUUGACAUACAUUGAACCCGGUCCAUUUGAAUGAUUAUAAACCAAAAAAAAAGUAAAUCAACUUGAUGAAGUCUAAAUGAGGCAAACCUAAAUGUACUCCAAUGAAACCAGAUCAUGCAUUGAGUGAAAAUUGAUGGAACACGUGAAAUUAAUUCAUGUUAAUCAGAAGAAGUAAAACAUAAUCUAGGACUUUAUAUAAAAAGCUAUAGAAAUUAAGAUCAAUAGGCUUGUUCUGUAAGAUCUCAUAAGAUCCUCUACAUUUUCCCCAUUUCAAAAGAUUAUAAUUCAUUUGAUUGCUUAUUAUUUCCGACACUAAAACACCAAAGCUACUUUCACCAGGCUAGAUAGAAAAUUUGAAACUUUGCAUACCGAUAGAGUCAUUUACGUAAAUUCAACAUGUUUAAUGUGUUGAAGAAUUCCAAGCCUGAAAGAACACAACACGAUCAAAUGUGAUUAUUCUUUAAGCAUUAAUAUCUAAGUAGACCUUAAAAUCCCAAACUUUGCCGUAUCAAUAUCCUAUAUCAGGGGCAGAGCCACUUGGAUCCCUGGUACUCCAUGGCUACCCUGUAUCAAGGGCGGAGCUACAUGGAGCCGUAUAUAGAGUUUCUAUGUUAUUUGUUUUGGUAAAAUUAGUUAGUUGAUCUUUGAGAAGCAAAAAAGAUGAGAGUUGCAACUGUAUCAAAAAAGCAGAUGAAAGAUUGAUUAUUAAUAUAGGAAUAUAUAUUUUGUUCAGUACAGAUCUCAUGAUUGUACGACUGAAAGGAAAAGACACGGGCAACUUAAUUCAUGAAUUAAAGGUAUAUGCAUUCAUUAUGUUAAAAAUACUUCCUUUGAUUGUCUGUGCCAUUUUUUACUAUCAAAUAGAGCAGUUUUCAUGUUAUAACAGUUUCAACAGAAGUUUUUACCUGCACAAUAGCUGGUGAAGACACGUUACCUUCCUUUAUCGCCGCUAAUUUUAGCAACUCUCCGCACAUAUUAUGAGGACCAUCAGAUCUGUCUAUGCAACUGUAAAAAUGUAUUAUAGAAUAAUCAGAAUAUGUGUGAUCCGUAGGGCCAGUGGUUCCAUUAAAAAUCUAUAGUCAUAGUAGAUGCUACCUGCAGCCUGCAAAUUUGAGGGCCAGUGGCCCCUUCUCACUCUGACAUGUACCACAUCCUUCAGUUUCUCUUCAUCCUUAUCACUGCUUUUCGAACUUUUACCCCUUCCACAGCUCUGUUUACAGUAAAUCAAAGAUAAGACCAAAAAUUCAAUUCAUUCAUAAACAGAGCAAUUAAGCUAGUAACAAUUUUUCAUAACUAAUGCAAGAUUCUACACUUAAUUUACGAUACAUUUUUUCACCUGCUUCCGCUUUCAGAAGCCUGAGGAGUUGAGUUAUCAGAACAGCUUUCAGAUUCUUGCAUGACAUUUUUAUGAUCUUCCGAAAAAUGUGGAAAAUUAUCUGCCAAGUUACCAGGGAAUUCAAGCACUUAUGUAAUGAAAUUGUCGAAAGGAAAGCCUGCCCAGCUAGUAAAAUUAGAGUUUGAGGUGUGCAUGACACUUGGAUUUAAUUGCAUGAGCUGAUUCAUGAUGAGGUCAACAUUUGGAUCAAACUCAAGCAAAGAAAAGUGGUGAGUUAAAGGUCUGCAUAUCUGAUGUGUAUUGAUACUUAAAUUCACGUAAUGCAUGACAUGUUUAACAAUUAUUAAAUUUUUAGUCACAAACGCUGGUGACGUUCUUUGAUUUUCAUCAACACUUUAAUCGACCAAUAAUAUUAAUAUUAAAGGGCUGUUUGGGCAAACUUAAAAAAAAUAAAAUUUGCUUAAGAUAAAGAAGCGGAUUAGAAUUGAAAAGUAAAUAAGUUAAUAAAGUGUUUGGAAAAGAAGCAGAAGCUGAUAAGCUAACAUCCUCAGCUUUUUAAAGGUGCUUCUACUUAUUUACACAAACGGGUCAAGAAAAACAGAAGCCAUAAGGAGUUUCUGGUUCUUGAUUACAAACAUGCCCUAAGACUGCCACAUAACAUUCAAGCUCAACUUUUGUCCCAGCUUCUGUGAUCAUUUCAUUUUCUACCGGUUUCAACUCCCGUCUGAAUAUACCAUUAAGAAAGAUAUUACGAGACUAUUUGACCGACUUUAAAAUUGUAACUACUGACUUCUGAUUUUAAAUUAAUAGUACUUCUAGAGUACAUAGUGCAUCUUGUUCCUCAUGGAGCAUUUCAGACUCCUUUGAAAUCAUAAAUGCACUAUGUACUCUAGAAGUACUUCAUCACUGAUAUUAGACAGGUGCCUAUUGUUUAUACAUUAGAGAACUAACCUUUCUGCUUAUUGUUUCCAGUACUGUGUUGCUGUCAUAUAACUCCUCAAGAACCGAAAACAUUUUUCCAGAAUCUUUGCAACUUCGGACAUCUGCUGAUUUUUAACAACUCAAGUCUCUGAAAUGCACUUUGAUCUUUACCCUAGGUACUCAUAACUGGUUAUACCCAUACUUAAAGCGUUGGCAAAUCAAAAUACAUUUCGAUGAGCACGACACAAUUGGCUUCAAAAAUCUUCCUCCCUGAUGCAAGAAGUACAUCCAAUAUAUAAUCAAAUAUGGUAGAGACCCUAAAAGAUUUCUAAAGUUAAAAUGGAUCAACUUUUUAUAGUUCUGUAUCAAUUUGGACCCAGAGCCCCAAUUAAAAUUUGCACACUGGUAAUUUUGAACCAUUUUGGGAAAAGAAAACCUUCAGCAUUGCUCUUUAUAUAAGAAGCAAAUCAUCAAUUAUUAUAUUAAUCGAAAAAGAAUACCAGUGUAUACGUGGAAUAUGUUGAAUUCUGAACCAUUCUGGCCGUCCCUUCAUAUAUUUUUCUCUCAGAAGAGGACACCCUUCCGUCUCUAGCAACUGAAGAGGAUGCGAUUUUUCAAACAGGGGCAAAGUCUUCAAAUUCUCACAAUCAAAUAUAAGUAACGUCUCGAGAGAUGGAAGCUUUGCUAUUGAAUCUGAGAGAGCUUUCACUCCUUUGAAAUUAUUUAUUCUCAAUUCAGUUAAUGCAGGGAAGGUGGAGGAGAGGCGAUUAUCAAGUUGCCCGAAUAUUGAUUCAACCUUUUUCCACCCGUCCAAUGAUAGUUUCUUUAGACUAUGAAAUGAAACCACGCAAGAAGAAGAGAAUGGCCAUGGAAAUUCAUCUAAAUCCUCUGAGAAAGGGCCUAAGCUUAGUCUAUCAAGUGUGGAACUCCUAGUUUGCGCAAAUACCCGCUCUAAGAGAGAGGAGGGGCAUUUCCAGAUCUCAAUAUCUUUUAGACCAACUGACCCUUCAACUAGAUUAAUAUUACUUGGCCGAGGACAUUUUAAACCCCCACAGUCGAUUAGCCUCAAAGAGGUCAGACACAGAGAAUUGUUCUUUAACAUCUCCUCAAUCAUAAAGUCCAUAUUUGAACAAGAAGAGGAAGAAGAUGAUGAUGAAUCUCCUCCAUUGCUGAUAUUGAGAAGUUCUAGAUGCUUGAGAGAGGCUAUGUUACUCCGACUCUUCUAUUUAGGUUGCCGUACCCGUGUCGGACACUUGGACACUCGGACACGACACUUAUUUCGUGUCGGAUCCUUUGACUAAAAUGUGGACACUUUGACCAAUUUAAAAAUCAAAUAUGAGUAAAACUUACAAUUGAAAAGAAAUAUGUGAGAAAAAAGAAAGAAGCAAAAAUGAGAUUUAAGUACAAAAGACGCUUAAUUUGCAAAAUCCCUUACAAAUUCAUGUCUAAUAUGAGUUUUAUUGUUACUUUUUGUUAAGAUGUCUAACUUACCAUACUUGUUUAUUAGUAUAUUACGAUGUGUCCCCGUACCCGUGUCCAAAAAUAGGACAGUGUCCCCGUGUCUCCAAUUUCCAUAGUUCUGAAGUCCGACACUCGAAUAUGUGUCGUGUCCGACACUCCGUACCCGAGUCCGAGUAACAUAGGAGAGAGGUAACCUUUUUGCUCAUUGUUUCCACUAUCACGCUGCUGUCCAAAUCAGUGAUUUUGAGCUCCUUCAAGGCCGGAAAACAAAUAUUUGGAAUCUUGCUUAACCUUGGACAAUACAUAAUUUCCAAACUCUCAAGUUUAGGAAAUACACUUUGGUCAUGACUCCCUGUGCUCAUCACUUCUUCUGUCCAUUCUUCUAGCUUUUCCAGCCUAUACAAAGUGAUAGUCAUGAGCGACGGAUACAUAGUUGUCACUGUCUUCGUGGCUGCACUGUCUAGACUUUCCAAUAAAUAAUUCCCCAUAACCUUCAAAUUUUCCAUCCCCUGUAAAUUUAUCUUCUUUAGCUUGGGAAGCUGACCCAGUGAUGGAAAUUCUGUGCAUCUGUUGCAACCAACCAACAAGAUUUUCACCAAGUUGUUCAUCAUUGUGAUCCAAGAUGAAAACUUCUUUCCCAUAUAGCAGUAAAUAAUCAAUUCUUUAAGAUUCGGGUGAGGUUCCAAUCCUUUCAUCACACCAUCAUCUUUGUUUUCCCCGUCUUCCCGGAAAGCACCAAUAUUUUUGUUCCAAUUUAAAACUAAAACCUCAAUAUUAGACUUUUCACGAAGCUUUGCCCUGCUUGCUUCUUCCAUAUUUGCCACGUCGCCAAGGCCAUGGAGUUGAAGCUCACCUCUAAGGUUUUUUAGUCCUCCCAAAUGUUCAACAAGACAAUUUUGAUCUUUAUUCACAACAAAAUAAGGCAGUGUUUGCAAAUGACUUAGUCUCUCUAUCCCGACAAAUACGUAUCUUGACCUGUGAUUGGGAAUUACAAGAUGUCGCAAGUUUAUAAGGUUACAGACCUUUUCUGGAAGUUCAUGGUAGUAUGAAAUUCUCAAAGUCUGCAAGCUGAAAAGUCUCGUGAUGUAAUAUGGCAAUGUAACAGUAGUUUUUUGUCCCCGAGCAUUUGAAAUAUCGAGAUGCUUAAGGCAUUUUAAAUUUGUUACUGAACUAGGAAACUCCUCACAAAAUGAAUUCAAAACCAAAACUCUCAAGUGUUUGAGGUUCGGUAACAGGACAUUAAAAAUAUCGGCCUCUGCACUAUUAAAAAUAUCGGCCUCUGCAUAUAGUGCUUGUACCGCAUCUAAGUGCGCCUCCUGAAAAAUAUUUUGUUUUACAUCUUCAAACCCUUCCAGCCUUACCUGUGUAGCUUUUCUGACCUUGUUGAAAUCCUGACUUGGCUUCACUAUAGCGGAAAUAUUACUUGACACAUCUAGUGCAAGAUCAUGUACAAGAUCAUGCAUCUUGCAUUUGGUAAUGUUUCCAUAUUCAUCUCUUUCCACAUCCUGUAACAAAGAAUUCGACAAGAGAAUGUCAAAGUACUCGUUUCCGAUGACCUCCAUCAAAACAUUACUAUCUUCCAAAAGGAAUCCUAAUGCCAUCCAUACUUGUAUCAGUUCAUCCUUAUAUAUGUCAGAAUCCUUUGGCAUAAUAGAGCAAUAUGCAAAACAUCGCUUCAAAGAUGAAUUAGGUAAAUUAUCAUAUGAUAAUCUCAAGGAAGGGAGUACACUUGUCGAUUUCCAUAGUUCACUAUUUUGAAUGUGCAACCACUGCUGUUCAGUCUUCUUUGAGUACAAUAAACUUCCUAGUGUUUUUACUGCUAGAGGCAGACCGCUACAUCUUUCUACCAUUCUUUUCCCCAAGGCCACAAAUGCCUCGGUCUGCAACGCUCCUCCAUCUGAAAAUGCUCUUUGCUUGAACAAUUCCCAACUAUCUUCCUCGGAUAGUUUUGCCACCUUAUAAGGAUCAGAGCAUCGCAUAGCAUCAAGGACUUCCUGCUUACGAGUGGUAAUUAAAAUAUUGCUACCUCUUGCACCGCCAACUCCAAGCAAAGAAUUUCUCAACUUCUCCCACUCCUCUGGUUUCCCAUCCCAUACAUCAUCUAGUACAAGUAAAAACUUUUCGCCCUUUAGGUUUUUCUGAAGAUCUUUGAUCAACCCUUCCGCAUUUUCCAAUGCAGAAGCCUUUGAAGUGAGAGAUACUACCAUUUGAUUCAGAAUCUUGAUGAAAUCAAAAUUAUCUGAUACAGUGACCCACAUCCUUUUAGGGAACAUAUUAAUUACAACAUCUUUAUUGUAAACCAUUCGAGCAAGAGUUGUCUUGCCUAGACCUCACAUCCCUAGUAUUGCAUUCACCGGUAAACCCUCACCAUUUUUGUUGCACAACAUAUUAACCAAAGAUGAUAUAUCUUUGUCCCUUCCGACAAUUAGGGACUCGUCUUCAAAAGGUGGGGUGUUGCGUAUCUCUCUACGUUGCACAGUAGAUCUUAAGUGCUCUACUGGAUGAAGACCAAUAUCAGUAGCCCAUUUACAAAUCUUGUCAAAGGAAGCAUUAAUAUUCUUGAUCUUAUGAGCCACUUUGGAACGAUAUAAUAAGGUGUUUUUAGAAGGAACAAAGCCUUAUGACGAUUCUCCACUUUUCUUCGGGUAACUUCAUACUCGAGUUCAUCCAUAAAAGAGCAACUUGUUCAAGCUUGUUAAACCACAGUUGGGCAGUAGACAUGUUUAAAUUCUGGGUAUGAGCCUCAUUCAAGAGAGCACCAAUUAGCUCAAACCUUUCACGCAGUGUAUCCAGAUCUUCAUGAAACUUCCAAGCCUGAAUCAACUCAUUGGUUGCCAGUGAAACAAGCUUGCGAACCAGUCCAGCAGCAAGAUCAGCUCCAGUUGCUUCAGCCAUUUUUUCUAGUCAGCUUCUUUAGUGUAUUAUUUCAGGAUUUUGAAAAUGGGGUACAAGUUUUUAAUAAAAAUUCGCAACAAAUGAAAUUUAAUCUAUUGACAAAUCACACUUAUACCUUUUUCCUGUUAGUUUUCACUGACCCAAAUCGAUGUUUAAAAUUGUGCAAUGUGUUGAAAUACAGAUAUAUGAACAAAUUCAAACCAAAAAAUUAAAAAAUUAAAAAUAAAAAUGGAGUAAGAUUGAUGGUCAAUAGAGAUUCGAAAAUAUGGAUGAAAAAGAAGCAUGAAAAUUGAGAAAGUAAAAUAUUGGUGACACUAUUUUGGAACAAGUUUCCGCCUAAUAUAGAAAAUGCUUGAUAACCAAACCACAGACACAGCUUAGUUUUCUAACUCUAUUAUAGCAUCUUUUUCUUCAUUGUUGUAAAGAAAAAAGUUUGCAGUCAGCAGAAAGAACAAGAGAUUAAUGAAAAGCUCAAAACAGCAUAAAAUGCAUAGAAAUAGUCCAACCGAGACCCAUUCAAGUUGUCCAAAAUCCAGCCAUUAUGUGGGACGAUAGGACAACAAAGUGCGUACUCAUUAUUCAUCGGUGCUAGCGAAAAAGGGCCACACUUGUGCAAUAUCUUUAGAUCAUAAAGUAUCCCCGUGCCAAGUCCACAUCUCACCAUCCCUGAUUUAAAAAAAAUUAAGAAAUUUCAGUGAAGCAUUAAAAAUGGAGACAGAAAUAAGUAGUAGUACUGAAACAUAGAGUGAUAAGUUUACCAUAUGACAUGUGCAAUAUGUUGAAUCUUGAACCAUUCUGGCCCGCUCUCUUUUCUACAUCUUUCUUUCAGAAUUGGACACCCUCUUAUCUCUAGAUAUCGGAGGCAAUGAGAUUCAUCAAACAGAGACACUCUCUCCAAAUCCUUACAAUUCUCAAUAGAUAAGUCCUUAAGAGAUGGAAGCUUUGCUAUUGACAGGACAAGAGUCUUCAUACCUCCGAAAUUAUGUAUAACUAAUUGAGUCAAGGCAGGGAAGGUGGAGAACUGAAGCUGCUCAAAGAGCGCUAUUGACUUUACAUUUUCCAACCCUCGCAGAAAAAGCACAACUAGGUUAGGGAAUGAAUCUAAUGAAGAAGGGAAUGGCCACGGAAAUUCAUCCCAGAAGGGACCUAACCGUAAGUGUGUAAGUGUGGAACUCUGAAUUUGGGCGGAUAUUCCAUCUACAAGAGAGGAGGGGACCCUCACUAGUGCGAGAUGUUUUAGACCAGCUGAUCCUUCAACUAUAUUAACACUUGCUAGAUUCGGGCAGUCAAAGAGUAGUAAUGAGGUCAAAGACAGAGAAUUAUUUUUUAAUAGCACUUUGAGUAUUGAUUCCAAGUUGGAGCAAGAAGAAGAUGAUGAUAAAUGCCCUCCUCCGUCGCUGAUUUUCCGCAGGUGUAAAGUGGUGAGUGAGCUAAGAUGCAUAUACAUAGUUUCCAGUAUCAUGUUGCUCUCCGAAUUUGUGAUACUCAAAUCUUUCAAGGACGGAAAACAGCUAUUCAGGAUCUUUCUCAACCUUGGACAAUCUGAGAUUUCCAACUUCUCAAGUUUAGGAAAUACAGUUUGGUCUUUACUGAAAAUGUCUUCCACCCAUUCUUCUAGCUUUGGCAAUUUCCGCAAAAUCAGUUUUGUCACUGACGGAUACAUUGCUGCUGUGUCUGGUUUUUGGGCCAGAUUUAGGCCUCCACAUAAAUUAUUUCCUAUAACCUUGACAUUUUCCAUCUUCUCUAUACAUAUCUUUCUCAGUUUAGGAAGGUGACCCAGUGGAGGAAAUCCUUCGCACCUGCUGCAAUCUGUCAUGGCGAUUUUCACCAUGUUGGUCAUCAUUGGGAUCCAUGACGCAAAUUUCUUUCCCAUAAAGUCUUCAAUUUCCAAUGCUUUGAGAUUUGGGUGGGGUUCCAAUCCUUCCAACACACCCUCAUCAGUGUAUUCUCCGUCUUCCCUUUCAUCUUCAUUGCUCCUCCAGUUCAACAGUAAAUGUCGAAUAUUGGACUUUUCACAAAGCUUUGCUUUACGUGCUUCUUCAAUAUUCUCCACCUCAUUAAGGCCAUAGAGUUUAAGCGUACCUCUAAGAUUUUUUAACAUUCCAAGUUGUCCAACGAGACAGUUUUGAUUUUUCUUCACAACAAAAUAAGGCAGCGUUUGCAAACAAGUUAACCUUUCAAUCCCAACAAACAUGUAUCUUGUUUUAGUAUUGCCAAUAACAAGAUGUCUCAAGUUUACAAGUUGGCAGAUGUUUUCCGGAAGCUCAUGAAGCGAUGAAAUUCUAAGAGUCUGUAAGUUGUAGAGCCUUGUAACUUGGUUUGGCAGUUUAUAGCUGAUAUUUGAAUAUGCAAUCCUAGAGACAUCUAAAUGCUUAAGGCAUUUCAAAUUCCCAAUUAAACCAGGCAGCUCCUCACAAAAUGAAUUUAAAACCAAAACUCUCAAGUACUUGAGUUUGGGUAGCACACAGUAAAAUAUAGUGGCCUCUGCAUAUAGUGCUUGUAUUGUAUCAAAGCGUAGCUUAAACAUACUUGGUUUUACAUCUUUGAAUCCUUCCAGCCUUAAAUAUGUAGCCUUUGAUCCCUUGUUAACAUCAUGACUUGGAUUUGCAGUAAUAGAAUAAUUACUUGACACCUCAAGUGCAAGAUCAUGCACAAGAUCAUGCAUCUUGCAGUUGGUAAUAUAUCCAUAUUUAUCCUUUUCCACAUCUUGUAACAAAGAAUUCCCCAACAGAAUGUCAAAGUACUCAUUUCCAGUGUCUUCCAUCAAGACAGUGCCAUCCCCCGGAAGGAAUCCUAAUGCCAUCCAUAUUUGUAUCAAUUUAUCUUUAUAAAUAUAAUGAUCCUUUGGCAUAAUGGAACAAUAUGCAAAACAUCGCUUCAAAGAAGAGCAAGGUAGAUUGUCAUAUGACAGCCUUAAGGAAGACAGUACACCUCUUGAUUUCCAUAUUUCACUGUUUUGGAUUAGCAACCACUCUUCUUCAGUCUUCUUUGAGUACAAUAAACUCCCUAGUGUUUUAAUUGCGAGAGGAAGACCGCCACAUCUUUCUACCAUUGUUUUACCCAAGGCAAUAAAUGCCUCUGUGUCUAAAACUCCUCUNCAAGGCAGGGAAGGUGGAGAACUGAAGCUGCUCAAAGAGCGCUAUUGACUUUACAUUUUCCAACCCUCGCAGAAAAAGCACAACUAGGUUAGGGAAUGAAUCUAAUGAAGAAGGGAAUGGCCACGGAAAUUCAUCCCAGAAGGGACCUAACCGUAAGUGUGUAAGUGUGGAACUCUGAAUUUGGGCGGAUAUUCCAUCUACAAGAGAGGAGGGGACCCUCACUAGUGCGAGAUGUUUUAGACCAGCUGAUCCUUCAACUAUAUUAACACUUGCUAGAUUCGGGCAGUCAAAGAGUAGUAAUGAGGUCAAAGACAGAGAAUUAUUUUUUAAUAGCACUUUGAGUAUUGAUUCCAAGUUGGAGCAAGAAGAAGAUGAUGAUAAAUGCCCUCCUCCGUCGCUGAUUUUCCGCAGGUGUAAAGUGGUGAGUGAGCUAAGAUGCAUAUACAUAGUUUCCAGUAUCAUGUUGCUCUCCGAAUUUGUGAUACUCAAAUCUUUCAAGGACGGAAAACAGCUAUUCAGGAUCUUUCUCAACCUUGGACAAUCUGAGAUUUCCAACUUCUCAAGUUUAGGAAAUACAGUUUGGUCUUUACUGAAAAUGUCUUCCACCCAUUCUUCUAGCUUUGGCAAUUUCCGCAAAAUCAGUUUUGUCACUGACGGAUACAUUGCUGCUGUGUCUGGUUUUUGGGCCAGAUUUAGGCCUCCACAUAAAUUAUUUCCUAUAACCUUGACAUUUUCCAUCUUCUCUAUACAUAUCUUUCUCAGUUUAGGAAGGUGACCCAGUGGAGGAAAUCCUUCGCACCUGCUGCAAUCUGUCAUGGCGAUUUUCACCAUGUUGGUCAUCAUUGGGAUCCAUGACGCAAAUUUCUUUCCCAUAAAGUCUUCAAUUUCCAAUGCUUUGAGAUUUGGGUGGGGUUCCAAUCCUUCCAACACACCCUCAUCAGUGUAUUCUCCGUCUUCCCUUUCAUCUUCAUUGCUCCUCCAGUUCAACAGUAAAUGUCGAAUAUUGGACUUUUCACAAAGCUUUGCUUUACGUGCUUCUUCAAUAUUCUCCACCUCAUUAAGGCCAUAGAGUUUAAGCGUACCUCUAAGAUUUUUUAACAUUCCAAGUUGUCCAACGAGACAGUUUUGAUUUUUCUUCACAACAAAAUAAGGCAGCGUUUGCAAACAAGUUAACCUUUCAAUCCCAACAAACAUGUAUCUUGUUUUAGUAUUGCCAAUAACAAGAUGUCUCAAGUUUACAAGUUGGCAGAUGUUUUCCGGAAGCUCAUGAAGCGAUGAAAUUCUAAGAGUCUGUAAGUUGUAGAGCCUUGUAACUUGGUUUGGCAGUUUAUAGCUGAUAUUUGAAUAUGCAAUCCUAGAGACAUCUAAAUGCUUAAGGCAUUUCAAAUUCCCAAUUAAACCAGGCAGCUCCUCACAAAAUGAAUUUAAAACCAAAACUCUCAAGUACUUGAGUUUGGGUAGCACACAGUAAAAUAUAGUGGCCUCUGCAUAUAGUGCUUGUAUUGUAUCAAAGCGUAGCUUAAACAUACUUGGUUUUACAUCUUUGAAUCCUUCCAGCCUUAAAUAUGUAGCCUUUGAUCCCUUGUUAACAUCAUGACUUGGAUUUGCAGUAAUAGAAUAAUUACUUGACACCUCAAGUGCAAGAUCAUGCACAAGAUCAUGCAUCUUGCAGUUGGUAAUAUAUCCAUAUUUAUCCUUUUCCACAUCUUGUAACAAAGAAUUCCCCAACAGAAUGUCAAAGUACUCAUUUCCAGUGUCUUCCAUCAAGACAGUGCCAUCCCCCGGAAGGAAUCCUAAUGCCAUCCAUAUUUGUAUCAAUUUAUCUUUAUAAAUAUAAUGAUCCUUUGGCAUAAUGGAACAAUAUGCAAAACAUCGCUUCAAAGAAGAGCAAGGUAGAUUGUCAUAUGACAGCCUUAAGGAAGACAGUACACCUCUUGAUUUCCAUAUUUCACUGUUUUGGAUUAGCAACCACUCUUCUUCAGUCUUCUUUGAGUACAAUAAACUCCCUAGUGUUUUAAUUGCGAGAGGAAGACCGCCACAUCUUUCUACCAUUGUUUUACCCAAGGCAAUAAAUGCCUCUGUGUCUAAAACUCCUCUAUUCAAAAAUGCUCUUUGCUUAAACAAUUCCCAACUAUCUUCCUCUGUUAGUUUUUUCACCAGAUAAGGAUCAGAACACUGCGUAGCAUCAACCACUUCCUGCUUCCGAGUGGUGACAAAAAUUUUGCUGCCUCUCGCACCCCCAACUCCAAGCAAAGAAUUCCUCAACUUGUCCCACUCUUCUGGAUUCUCAUUCCAAACAUCAUCUAGCACAAGUAAAAACUUUUCGCCCUUCAGCUUUUUUUGAAGAUUUUUGAUCAGACCUUCUGGAUUAUCCAACACAGAAGGGCUUGAAGUGAGUGACACCACCAUUUGAUUUAAAAUCUUAAUGAAAUCAAAAUCAUCUGAUACAGUGACCCACAUCCUCUUGGGAAACAUGUUGAUCACAGCAUCUCUAUUGUAAACUAUGCGGGCAAGAGUUGUUUUGCCUUGACCACCCAUCCCGAGUAUUGCAUUCACCUGUAAACCCUCAUCAUUUUGGUUGCACAACAUGUUAACUAGAAAUGAUAUAUCAUCAUCUCUUCCGACAAUCAGCGACUCGUCUUCAAAGGGUUGGGUGUAGCGUAUCUCUCUGUGUUGUACAGUAGAUCUCAAAUGCUCUACUGGCUUAAGUCCAAUAACAGUAGCCCAUUUACAGAUCUUGUCAAAGGAAGUAUUAAUAUUCUUGAUCUUAUGAGCCACUUUGAAACGAUAUAAUAAGGAGUUUUUAGAAGGAGUGAAGAAGUCUUUUACCCUGUGACGAUUCUCAACUUUUCUUCGAGAAACUUCAUACUCGAGUUCAUCCAUAAAAGCUUCAGCCACCUGAGCCACUUCUUCAAGUUUGUUGAACCAAAUUUUGGCACUAGACAUGAUUAAAUUCUUGUUUUGAGCGUCAUGCAAGAGAGCACCGAACGAUUCAAAUCUCUGACGCAGUGUCUUCAAAUCUUCGUCAAGUUUCCAGAUCUGAAUCACUUCAUCAGUUGCAAGUGAAAUUAGCUUUCGGACCAGUCCAGCAGAAAGAUCAUCUACAAUUGCUUCAGCCAUUGCUCUCAAUCUUUCUUGUUUCUUCAGCGAGAUGUGCAAGUGGUGAUGGUUGUAAGGACAAUUGCUUGAGAUGGUUGUAAGAUCAUCUUAUUGAUUGCUCCGUCCGGUUUAUAUAUUUGCAGAAUUGCAGAUUUACGGGCAUUGUAAAAGCAGCCCGCCGUUUUCCGGGGUUAUAAAUAAAAAACGUACGCUUUGCCUAAAGUGUUUUAAAUUUCGAUUUUAUAAAUGAUAAUAUGACAAGUUCAAAUUUAAUUCCCGAUUUUAUAAGUGACACAAGUUGAAACUUAAUUUUGUUUGUGACUUAUUUUAUUUUAGAAAAUUUGAUUUUACAAAUAUAUAAAUAAUCAUUCUAAAAUAUAAUUUAUCAGAUUUUAUUAUUAUAUCAAUAAUUUUAUACUCGAUAAGUUGUUGAAUCAAAAUAUUUAUAAAAAAUAAAUAACUUAAAAGUUAUUUUGCACUUAUAUAAAUGAUAUACCUUAAUAAGUAACUAGCUUUAUAGCCCGUGCGUGGCACGGGCAUGCUCUAAACAUUUCUAUAUUUAAGUUUAUGCGGUGUUUUUGUAUGUUUUGAAAAUGUAAUGCAUAAACAGGCAAGAAAACAUCUAUCAAAGUGGAUUAAAAAAGAUCACCACAAACCAGUUACAUGGAUGAUGCCUCCGAAAGAAAAUAAGCGAAGAACUGAUGAUAUUAUAUAUGUAACACCCCAGUCCCACAUCGAGAAGAGUGAGAAUAUUUGUUCAGUUUAUAAGCAUAAAUAUUACUACUAAUUGCACCAACAAAUCAUGAUCUUUUGUGGGCCUGUGGUGGGCUUGUAAAUUACCCAAGUUGUUGUAGUUGGGCCAGUUUAUUUCGGCUUAUUUUCGGAUUCAGAUUCGGAUUUCGGGACUUGACCUGAUUUUUGAAAAAAACUCGGGAUUUGACCCGGUUGUCACAUAUGGUAUUAGAGCGAGGUUCUCGAAAGCUUGAUUCGUCAAGUUGCCGGAGGUGGGGACACAAAGGCUGGUGGUAUUAUCCUGCAAUGGACAGAGAUCCGAAGGCGGGGACACGAAACCAGCCAGUAUUAUCCCACAAUGGCUAGAGAGGUUCGAUCUGGGCCUAUGGGCUAUCCGUUUCGGCCUGACGAGGACGUCAGGAAUUUAAGUGGGGGAGUUUGUUACACCCCAGUCCCACAUCGAGAAGAGUGGGAAUAUUUGUUCAGUUUAUAAACAUAAGUAUAACUACUAAUUGCACCAACAAAUCAUGAUCUUUUGUGGGCCUGUGGUGGGCUUGUGAAUUACCCAAGUUGUUGCAGUUGAGCUAGUUUAUUUCGGCUUAUUUUCGGAUACGGAUUUCGGGACUUGACCAGAUUUUCGAAAAAGACUCGGGAUUUGACCCGGUUGUCACAAUAUACUAUACUAUGAAAUAAAUUUAUUGACAAUUAAACUCCAGCUACACUAAAUCAAAUCAGCAUGAUCAGAACCCUUAACAUUGAUGCAUAUGAAAAUUCAUGGAACAGCAACCCAUUAUUGUAAUUAUGUGUGCAUAGUCUUUUUGACAAAAUAACUUGUUUAAUCUAUUAAUACAUAUGAUAACUACUUUAUAUAAAUUCUUUACUAAUCAUAACAUAUAACUACAGUUGCUUAACUACAUCAUAUCAAUUCUUUACUAACCAUAAAAUAUAACUCGAAAUGCCUUUAACUAUUAUAUAUUGGUUCAUUCUUUGGUUUCAGUGCAUUAACUUAAUGAAUUAGAUAAAUUCUUUAGUAAUCAUAACAUAUCACUUUUUGCCUAACUACAUUAGAUCAAUUGUUUACUAAUCAUAAAUAUAAUUCGAGUUGACUUAAUCGUAACUAAAUCAAAUUAGCAUGAUUAGAACUUUUAACAUUCAUGCAUGAAACCCUUAACAUUCAUGCAUAUGCAAAUUCAUAAAACAAUUAGUCAUUAUUGUAAUAUUAUGUGUGCAUAGUCUUUUUGACAAGAUACAGUAACUUAAUCUAUUAAAGAAUACGAUAACUACAUUAGAUAAAUUCUUUACUAAUCAUAACACAUAACUCGAGUUGUUUAACUCAUUAGAUCAAUUCUUUAUAAAUCAUAACAUAUAACUCGAGUUGUCUUUAACUACAGUAUAUUGGUUCACUCUUUGUUCUGAGUGCAUUAGUUUGAUGAAUUAUAUAAAUCUAAUUAAUCAUAACAUAUAACUCGAGUUGCCUAAAAUCAAUUCUUUACUAAUCAUAACCUACAACUUGAGUUGCCUCACCGUAUAUUGGUUCACUCUUUGCUUUGAGUGCACUAACUUGGUGAAUUCCUCGCAAAGAAUAUUUUUAUUUUGAAUAUGUAGUUAUUCGUAAUUAAUAAUGUAUAAUGAUUGAUGAAAUGAAUGAUAUUUUUGAGUAUUUUACAAAUAUUCUAAAGACACAUUCAUUCAAAAGUAUUAUUUUAUAAUAAUGUAUUAGAUAUUAUUAUUAUUAAAUAUUAUUCAUGUAUUUAUUAGUAAUUAUCAAUGUAUAAUAAUUGAUAAAAUGAUCUAAUGAUAACUGAAUUACUAUUGUUAGUAUUUGUUAGAUAUUAUUAAGGAGGAUAUAAUAAUUAGAUAUAAUUAAUAACAUAUAUUAAAUAUGUUGUUAUUAGUAGUUAAUCAUGUAUAAUGAUUGAUGAGAUGAUCUGAUAAUAAUUAAAUUACUCUCUCUGUUUUUUUUAUUCGACGCUUUAACUUUGAGCACACACUUUUAUGUUCUUUGACCAGAUAGUUAGAAAUAUUAUUUUUUUAAAUUUUCUUUCUCUGAAUAAAAAUAUAUAACUAAAACUUUUAUUCACCAAAAAAAUAAAUUAAAAAUAAUAACUUUUACUAUCCGGUCAACUCGUCUAAAGAAGUGUGCCUAAAGUCAACACGUCAAAUAGAAAAACCAGAGGGAUCAUUAGUAUUUGCUACAUACUCCCCCCGUCCCCCCCGACGGUAUAUACAUUGAGGGACGCGGCCGAACUUUAAUGCUCCUGCAAAGUGUAGUUGUGUAAAUUUUUUUUAUAAAUUUUCUUUUUCUGAAUUAAAAUUUGGAAUAUAAUUAAUAACAUAUAUUAAAUAUGUAGUAUAGCAGUUAAUAAUGUAUAAUGAUUGAUGAGAUGAUCUAAUGAUAAAAAAAUUACUCCCUCUGUUUUUUUAUUUGACGCUUUGACUUUGGGCACACUUUUAAGUGCUUUGACCCGGUAGUUAGAAAUAUUUUUUUUAAGUUUCUUUCUUUGAAUAAAAAUAUAUAACUAAAACUUUUAGGGUCGCGCUCAAGAGAGAACCAGUCCUUAAAAUAGAACCAUAGAACCACUGAGGUUCUGCUGCGGAACCCUAAAUUUUAAAUAGAUUUUUAGUAUCUAAAUCCAAAUACAUAUUUUUUUCAUAUUUUUUCAUCGUUGUGUGUGUUCUGAAAUAAUUUUAAAAUACAAUACAUAGAUAUUGACAUUUUUUGCAUGUGAAGUUCGGCUGCAGAACCCUAACUAAUACUUAAGUUCUGCUCCAGAACCCUACCUAAUACUACAAAUAAGGUAAGGGUUCUAUGAGUUCUCUAUCUAAUGGUUCUCUCUUGAACAUGACCCAAAACUUUUAUUCACAAAAAAAUAACUUAAAAAUAAUAAUUUUCACUACCCGGUCAAUCAUCUAAAGAAAAGUAAAAAAAAACAAACAGAGUGAUUAUUAGUAUUUGCGAGAUACUCCAUCCGUCCCCCUAGAUAGUACACACUGAGGGACGCGGACGCGUAGUUGCGUAAUUUUAUUGAGGAAAAAAAUCCUAAAAAAUAAGUUACGAAACUAUAUUUAAUAAGAACAUUGAAAUGUGUGUCAAGCAGUUGAAAAUAAACGUAUAGAAUUAAAUGGGACACUGGGUGUAUUAAUUAAGACAUAGUAAUUAGAUAUAAUCAAUGACAGAUAUUAGAUAUGUAGUUAUUAGUAAUUAAUAAUGUGUAAUAAAUUAAAUGAAAUAAUUAUUAGUGUAGAUAUUAAUGAGGAUAUUAAUGAUUAAAUUGGCUCACCAAAACCCAUGUUGUAGUAUUAUAUAUAUAAUUAGCACUGUAGCCCGUGCGAGGCACGGGCAUGUUCUCAUAUGCGUGAUGAAUAUUGUUAUUCUUGUUAUUGUUCGACAGUGUCAAAAAUAAAGAGUUUAAAUUUUAGAUCCUUGUUAUUGCAGUGUAGUGUAAACAUAUCUUUUAUUAUUAGAGUGCGAUAAUUGUUAGUUGUCCUUAAAAUAAUGUAAGCAAAGUGUCACAAUGAUAUUCCUGCAUCAGUGAAGUAUAACGUUGAUAUUCAAUUGGUUGUAGUGUAUCUUCCUCAUUCACCUUCAUUAUAUUAUAAUUUUUUUAAAUUUUUUUUGACUAUUUCGACCAUAAUUCACCUAAGAAUUUAAUUAAACUUAUAAUAUAUUGUCUCACUAUCUGUGGAAUAUCACACUAAUACUCCUCGACACAUGAAGUAUCACCCUGAUAGGUAACUGGUUGUGACGUAUCAUCAUGAUAAUUCUCUUAUAAUAAAAAAUUUGUAGAUAUUUAGGGUCCUCCUUAGCAAAGUAACACCUUUAUAUUCAACUGGUUGUGGCAUAUCAUCCUGAUAAUACUCUGAUAUUAGAGUAUGUAGUGGGUAGUUAAGGCCCCUUCUAAUUGAAUAUUUAUAUUUUGAUUAAAUAUAGUUGAAAAUUGAUUAUUUCAACCGGAAAUUUGCCAAAAACUUUAACCAAGUUUAUAAAUAUGUUGCUCCACUCAUAGUGGGAAAUACACUGAUACUCCUCUACCUGUGGAGUAUCACCUGAUACUUAACAGGUUACGAUAUAUUAUCAUGUUAAUCCUCUUACAAUCAAAGCUUUUGUCGAUAUUUAGAACAUUCUUUACUGAAUAUACUUGUUUUGGUUAAAUAUUGUUGAGUCACGGGCAUGUUGGGUAUUUAGGGCCUGAACUUACUGAAUAUUCAUAUUUUGGUUAAAUAUUGUUGAAAAUUGGGUAGUUUGGCUGGGCAUUUACAGAAGAAUUAAAUUAAGGUUUUUUUAUAAAUAUAUAAGUUUCACUCCGAGUGGAAUAUCACACUGAUACUCCUCUAUCAUCGGAGUAUCAUCCCAAUACUCAAUUAAUUAGACGUAUCACCAUGAUAAUACUCUUACAGUCAAAUAUUUUGCGCAUAUUUAGGACUUCUUUACUUAAUAUUCAUAAUUUAGUUAAAUAUUGUUGAGACACGGUCACACGGGAAUGUUCUCAUACGCGUGAUGGAUGUUGAUAUCUUGACGUUGUCCAAGUGUUAGGUUUGAAUUCUUGUUAUUGCAAGGUGAUGCAUUAACCAUUAUUAUGAAUUAGAUAUAGUCGUCCUUAUAAUAAUGCGAGUAAGGCAUCACACUGAUAUUCUUUUAUAAGUGGAAUAUCAUAUUGAUAUUUGGCUCGCUGUCCGUAUCAACACGAUAAUACUCUUGCAAUCAAAUAUUUUGCGAAUAUUUAGGACUUCUCUACUAAUUAUUCAUAAUUUGGUUAAAUAUUGUUGAGACACGGUCACACGGGAAUGUUCUCAUGCGCGUGCAUGUUGUUAUCUUGAUGUUGUCCAAGUGUUAGGUUUGAGAUCUUGUUAUUGCAGGGUGAUGCAUUAACCACUAAUAUGAAUUAGAUAUAGUUGUCCUUAUAAUAAUGCGAGCAAGGUAUCACACUGAUAUUCUUUUUCAAGUGGAGUAUCAUCAUAUUGAUAUUUAACUGGCUGUCGUGUAUAUGCUGCAAAACUCCGAAUGAAAUAUCACAUGAUAUUCAAUUGAUUGUGACGUAUCCUCAUAAUAAUCUUUUUACGGUAAAAUAUUUUAAAGGUAUUUAGGGCCCACAAAUAAUUUUAAUAAGCAUUCAUCCAAGAACUUAAUUAACGUAUUAUUGUUAAAAAUUAUGCAAAAUUAGAUUUUUUAACUUUAAAUUAGUUAGUGUGAUACAUGCUUUGACGAUGUAAUUGAUUACCUACCCAUUAAUAAUUAACAUAUUAUUUACAAAUUUAAUUAUGAAUAAAUUAAUAUGUUAGAUAUAAUCACACAUAUUAAUUAUAAAUAUUAAUUUAAUGUAUUAAUAAAGAAGGUAAACACAUCAAUUACAUGUCUAAUAAUGAAUUUAUUAAAGUCUUAGAUAUAAUUACAUGUAUUAAUUACAAGUUAUUAAUUAUAUGUAUCAAUGGAAGAGAUAUUAGUUGCAAGUGUAUUAAUGAAAGAGAGGGUUAAAAGAGUAAUUUACAUGGUGAAUAAAAUGUGGCAUGUUGGUCUAUUAUAUAUAUAAAUAGAUAGAUAGAUAAGCAUUUUUUUUAAAAUUAAAUCAAACGGUCCAAAAAUUUGAUUUGUUCUUAAAUAGUUUGAUUUCCGCACUUCACUGUUUGAGAUAUCAACAACCAUUUUUCUCUCACUUUUUUGAGUAAACUAAAUAUUCAUUUAUUUUAUCGGAGACCGAUCGUAUACUGGAUUUUUUAUAGGUUAGGCUGAUCCGAAUCCGUUAGAGUUGUAAAGUUGUAGAGAUGUAAUCUGGCAAUUUAUAACUCUUGCAUCCGAGAGAAUUUGAGAUAUCGAGAUGUUUAAUGAACUUGACAACUCAUUACAAAAUGACUUAAGAACGAGCACUCUCAGGGUCGUUUGGUUGGAGAGGAGGUAUGAGGUUGGAAUGAGGAAUCGGGUUAUCAGGUGUUUGGUUGAGUGGUGGAAUGAAUAUGGUUGAAUUAUAAUAUUUAUGAGUUAUUAACUGUAAUUAAUUUAAAAUAUCAUGAAAUUAAUAUUUGUAUACAUUUUUAAGUCAUUAAUUUCAUUUUGUGUUAAAAAUUUACAAGAAAUAAUAUAAAUAAUAAUGAAAAUAAAAGAAAAAAAAUUGAUUCCUGAAACGCAUAUUUCAUACCCACCUCCCCCUUGUUAUGAAAUUCUCAUACCUUGUGGGUUUGAGGAAUGAGUUUGAUGAAAUAAAAUUCUCAACCAGAUAUGGGUUUGGAAUGAACAAAACUCAUACCUGAUAUCACGGAAGCCUGAACCAAACGACCCCUCAAGUGUUUGAGGUUGGGUAAGAGGACACUGAAAAUACUAGCCUGUGAGUAUAGUGAUUGUACUGUAUAAAAGUAGGCCUUGUAGAUAUUUGGUUUUAAAUCCUCAAACCCCUCCAGCCUUACAUGAAUUGCCUGAGAAAGCUGGUUAGAAUCCUGACUUGGUGUUACGGUUUGGGAGUGAUUAGUUGACACAUCUACAGCAAGAUCAUGCAUUUUGCAACAGGUGAUAUUGCCAUAUUCAUCCGUUUCCACGUCUUGUAACAAAGAAUUCGACAACAAAAUGUUGAAGUAUUCACUGCCUACGUCCUCCAUCAGCAAAUUGGUAUCUCCAGGAGACAAAAGGAAUCCUAAUGCCAUACAUAUAUGUACCAUUUCAUCUUUAUAUAUAAGAGAAUCCUUGGAAAGAACAGAAAAAUAUGCAAAACAUCUUUUCAAAGAUGAAUAUGGUAAAUUGUCAUAUGACAACCUCAAGGAUGAUAAUACCCCUUUUGAUUUCCAUACUUCACUGUUUAAGAUCAACAGCCACUCUUCCUCCGACUUCUUUGAGUACAAUAAACCCCCUAAUGUUUUUAUUGCCAGAGGCAGGCCGCCACACCUUUCCACCAUUCUUCUUCCCAAGUCUACAAAUUCCCUGGUCUCUAAAACUCCUCCAUGUGUAAAUGCUCUUUGCUUGAAUAGUGCCCAACUAUAUUCUUCUGAAAGUUUUUCGACCCUAUAACAAACAGAACAUUGCAUGGCAUCGAUGACUUCCUGGUUACGCGUGGUAACUAGAAUGCUGCUUCCUUUCGCACAACCAACCCCAAGCAAAGAAUUCAUCAAGCUAUCCCACUUAUCUGCUUUCUCAUUCCAUACAUCAUCCAGUACAAGUAAAACCUUUACCCCCUUUAGAUGUUUUUGAAGAUUUUUUUAUCACUGCUUCAGUGUUAUCCAACACUGAAGUGGUUGAAGUAAGCGAUCCUACCAUCUGAUUCAAAAUCUUCAUGAAAUCAAAAUCAUCUGAUAUAGUAACCCAUAUCCUUCUUGAAAAUAUAUUGAUCACAACGUCUUUAUUGUAGACCACACGAGCAAGAGUUGUCUUACCUUGACCCCCCAUCCCUGCUACAGCAACGACCAGUAAAUCCUCAUCAUGAAUUUUGGACAAGACAUGAACUAAAUUUGAUACAUCUUCAUCUCUUCCGACUACUUGUGUCUCGACUUCAAAGGGCGCAGUGUGACGGAUCUCUCUCACUUGUACAGUUGCACUCAAUUGUGCUAUGGGCUGCAGUCCAAGAUCUGCCGCCCAUUUAAAAAUCUUGUCAAAGGAUUUAUGAAUAGUCUUGAUCUUAUUAGCCGCAGAUCUUGUUAUUGCAGGGUGAUGCAUUAACCACUAAUAUGAAUUAGAUAUAGUUGUCCUUAUAAUAAUGCGAGCAAGGUAUCACACUGAUAUUCUUUUUCAAGUGGAGUAUCAUCAUAUUGAUAUUUAACUGGCUGUCGUGUAUAUGCUGCAAAACUCCGAAUGAAAUAUCACAUGAUAUUCAAUUGAUUGUGACGUAUCCUCAUAAUAAUCUUUUUACGGUAAAAUAUUUUAAAGGUAUUUAGGGCCCACAAAUAAUUUUAAUAAGCAUUCAUCCAAGAACUUAAUUAACGUAUUAUUGUUAAAAAUUAUGCAAAAUUAGAUUUUUUAACUUUAAAUUAGUUAGUGUGAUACAUGCUUUGACGAUGUAAUUGAUUACCUACCCAUUAAUAAUUAACAUAUUAUUUACAAAUUUAAUUAUGAAUAAAUUAAUAUGUUAGAUAUAAUCACACAUAUUAAUUAUAAAUAUUAAUUUAAUGUAUUAAUAAAGAAGGUAAACACAUCAAUUACAUGUCUAAUAAUGAAUUUAUUAAAGUCUUAGAUAUAAUUACAUGUAUUAAUUACAAGUUAUUAAUUAUAUGUAUCAAUGGAAGAGAUAUUAGUUGCAAGUGUAUUAAUGAAAGAGAGGGUUAAAAGAGUAAUUUACAUGGUGAAUAAAAUGUGGCAUGUUGGUCUAUUAUAUAUAUAAAUAGAUAGAUAGAUAAGCAUUUUUUUUAAAAUUAAAUCAAACGGUCCAAAAAUUUGAUUUGUUCUUAAAUAGUUUGAUUUCCGCACUUCACUGUUUGAGAUAUCAACAACCAUUUUUCUCUCACUUUUUUGAGUAAACUAAAUAUUCAUUUAUUUUAUCGGAGACCGAUCGUAUACUGGAUUUUUUAUAGGUUAGGCUGAUCCGAAUCCGUUAGAGUUGUAAAGUUGUAGAGAUGUAAUCUGGCAAUUUAUAACUCUUGCAUCCGAGAGAAUUUGAGAUAUCGAGAUGUUUAAUGAACUUGACAACUCAUUACAAAAUGACUUAAGAACGAGCACUCUCAGGGUCGUUUGGUUGGAGAGGAGGUAUGAGGUUGGAAUGAGGAAUCGGGUUAUCAGGUGUUUGGUUGAGUGGUGGAAUGAAUAUGGUUGAAUUAUAAUAUUUAUGAGUUAUUAACUGUAAUUAAUUUAAAAUAUCAUGAAAUUAAUAUUUGUAUACAUUUUUAAGUCAUUAAUUUCAUUUUGUGUUAAAAAUUUACAAGAAAUAAUAUAAAUAAUAAUGAAAAUAAAAGAAAAAAAAUUGAUUCCUGAAACGCAUAUUUCAUACCCACCUCCCCCUUGUUAUGAAAUUCUCAUACCUUGUGGGUUUGAGGAAUGAGUUUGAUGAAAUAAAAUUCUCAACCAGAUAUGGGUUUGGAAUGAACAAAACUCAUACCUGAUAUCACGGAAGCCUGAACCAAACGACCCCUCAAGUGUUUGAGGUUGGGUAAGAGGACACUGAAAAUACUAGCCUGUGAGUAUAGUGAUUGUACUGUAUAAAAGUAGGCCUUGUAGAUAUUUGGUUUUAAAUCCUCAAACCCCUCCAGCCUUACAUGAAUUGCCUGAGAAAGCUGGUUAGAAUCCUGACUUGGUGUUACGGUUUGGGAGUGAUUAGUUGACACAUCUACAGCAAGAUCAUGCAUUUUGCAACAGGUGAUAUUGCCAUAUUCAUCCGUUUCCACGUCUUGUAACAAAGAAUUCGACAACAAAAUGUUGAAGUAUUCACUGCCUACGUCCUCCAUCAGCAAAUUGGUAUCUCCAGGAGACAAAAGGAAUCCUAAUGCCAUACAUAUAUGUACCAUUUCAUCUUUAUAUAUAAGAGAAUCCUUGGAAAGAACAGAAAAAUAUGCAAAACAUCUUUUCAAAGAUGAAUAUGGUAAAUUGUCAUAUGACAACCUCAAGGAUGAUAAUACCCCUUUUGAUUUCCAUACUUCACUGUUUAAGAUCAACAGCCACUCUUCCUCCGACUUCUUUGAGUACAAUAAACCCCCUAAUGUUUUUAUUGCCAGAGGCAGGCCGCCACACCUUUCCACCAUUCUUCUUCCCAAGUCUACAAAUUCCCUGGUCUCUAAAACUCCUCCAUGUGUAAAUGCUCUUUGCUUGAAUAGUGCCCAACUAUAUUCUUCUGAAAGUUUUUCGACCCUAUAACAAACAGAACAUUGCAUGGCAUCGAUGACUUCCUGGUUACGCGUGGUAACUAGAAUGCUGCUUCCUUUCGCACAACCAACCCCAAGCAAAGAAUUCAUCAAGCUAUCCCACUUAUCUGCUUUCUCAUUCCAUACAUCAUCCAGUACAAGUAAAACCUUUACCCCCUUUAGAUGUUUUUGAAGAUUUUUUUAUCACUGCUUCAGUGUUAUCCAACACUGAAGUGGUUGAAGUAAGCGAUCCUACCAUCUGAUUCAAAAUCUUCAUGAAAUCAAAAUCAUCUGAUAUAGUAACCCAUAUCCUUCUUGAAAAUAUAUUGAUCACAACGUCUUUAUUGUAGACCACACGAGCAAGAGUUGUCUUACCUUGACCCCCCAUCCCUGCUACAGCAACGACCAGUAAAUCCUCAUCAUGAAUUUUGGACAAGACAUGAACUAAAUUUGAUACAUCUUCAUCUCUUCCGACUACUUGUGUCUCGACUUCAAAGGGCGCAGUGUGACGGAUCUCUCUCACUUGUACAGUUGCACUCAAUUGUGCUAUGGGCUGCAGUCCAAGAUCUGCCGCCCAUUUAAAAAUCUUGUCAAAGGAUUUAUGAAUAGUCUUGAUCUUAUUAGCCGCCUUAAAACGAUUUAAUAUGUUGUUUUUAGAAGGAACAAAGAAGUCCCUUACCCUGUGAUGACUUUCCACCUUUUGUCGAGUAACUUCAUAAGCAAGUUGAUCCAUAAAAACAUCAGCGACAUGUGCCACAGCUUUGAGUUUGCUGAACCAGGUUUGGACAGAAAACAUAUCUAGUUUCUUGGUACAAGUAUCGGACAGGAGAGCAAAGCUGAGAGAAAACCAUCCAGCUUUGUGGAUGGUGACUUGAAUAGAAAUUUAUCAAGUGAGUAAAGCUGAGGGGAAAAGAAAGCCAAUUCAGCUAAAAGUCAAUAGCCUCCUAGAAGAUGGCAUCUUUAUUUUUUACAUGUCAGGUGAACCCUGGUUGGGAUCAUGAUUGACUAAAUUUAUAUUUAAAUUCAUUUAUGUUAUCGAAUUCAAAUUAGAUUAAUACUGAUUACCGGCCGAUCCGAAUCGGUCGGAGACGGGGAUCUCGAACUCCACUCUGUAUGAUUUAUUUUAUUUUAAAGAAAAUUGAUUUGUUACAAAGUUAUAAAAGACCAUUUAUCAUUUACAAUUGAACAAAAUUUAAACCAAAAAAUAUUUAAAAAGAAAAAAAUAAAUGUAAAUCGACGGUCAAUAUUGAUUUUGGAGCAAGUCUAUCGUCCUAAUAUAAAAAAAUGCUUGAUACCGAGACGACAAAAAACUUUGUCUCUCUUAUUUUUAUCUUUGUCGAAAAAGUACUUACUACAUUAUUACAUCUUUGAAGAAAGCAUUUGUAUCAGAAGUAUUCUUGACAUUUUCCAAUUCUAUUGUAGCAUCAUCUUGUUCUUUGUUGUAAACAAAAAAGUUUGCAGCCAGAAGAAAAAACAAGAGGUUAAUAAAGCUCAAAACAGCAUAAAAUGCGUAGAAAUAGUCCAAGUGAGACACAUUCAAGUUGUCCAAAAUCCAGCCCUUGUGACCAUCCCUCUUAGUGAAAUCAGACACAACUGUUAGAAUAAAACUGCUUAGAAAAUUCCCAAUAC
rnacentral:lncRNA from 1 species